rnacentral:rRNA from 1 species
AGAACGAACGCUGGCGGCAUGCCUAAUACAUGCAAGUCGAACGAACUCUUCGGAGUUAGUGGCGCACGGGUGCGUAACGCGUGGGAAUCUGCCCUUGGGUUCGGAAUAACAGUUGGAAACGACUGCUAAUACCGGAUGAUGACGAAAGUCCAAAGAUUUAUCGCCCAGGGAUGAGCCCGCGUAGGAUUAGCUAGUUGGUGAGGUAAAGGCUCACCAAGGCGACGAUCCUUAGCUGGUCUGAGAGGAUGAUCAGCCACACGUGGGACUGAGACACGGCCCAGACCUCCUACGGGAGCAGCAGGUAGGAAUAGUGGACAAGUGGGACGAAAGCCGGAUCCAGCAAUCGCGCGUGAGUGAUAGGAGGUCGUUAGGU